rnacentral:rRNA from 1 species
GACGCUGGCGGCGUGCCUAAUACAUGCAAGUCGAACGCACUUUCGUUAGAUUGAAGAAGCUUGCUUCUGAUUGAUAACAUUUGAGUGAGUGGCGGACGGGUGAGUAACACGUGGGUAACCUGCCCUAAAGUGGGGGAUAACAUUUGGAAACAGAUGCUAAUACCGCAUAAAACCUAGCACCGCAUGGUGCAAGGUUGAAAGAUGGUUUCGGCUAUCACUUUAGGAUGGACCCGCGGUGCAUUAGUUAGUUGGUGAGGUAAAGGCUCACCAAGACCGUGAUGCAUAGCCGACCUGAGAGGGUAAUCGGCCACACUGGGACUGAGACACGGCCCAGACUCCUACGGGAGGCAGCAGUAGGGAAUCUUCCACAAUGGACGAAAGUCUGAUGGAGCAACGCCGCGUGAGUGAAGAAGGUUUUCGGAUCGUAAAACUCUGUUGUUGGAGAAGAACGUAUUUGAUAGUAACUGAUCAGGUAGUGACGGUAUCCAACCAGAAAGCCACGGCUAACUACGUG